UACAGAGGUGACUAACGUUGUCCGGAAUUAUUGGGCGUAAAGGGCGCGUAGGCGGUUCAGUAAGUCAGAUGUGAAAUGUCCGGGCUUAACCCGGAAGUUGCAUCUGAUACUGCUGGACUUGAGUACGGUAGAGGAAGGUGGAAUUCCCAGUGUAGCGGUGAAAUGCGUAGAUAUUGGGAGGAACACCGGUGGCGAAGGCGGCCUUCUGGACCGAGACUGACGCUGAAGCGCGAAAGCUAGGGGAGCAAAC
rnacentral:rRNA from 1 species